GGGCGGUAAAGCGAGCGCAGGCGGUUUUUUAAGUCUGAUGCUGAAAGCCCUCGGCUUAACCGAGGAAGCGCAUCGGAAGACUGGGAAACUUGAGUGCAGAAGAGGACAGUGGAACUCCCGAUGUGUAGCGGUGAAAUGCGUAGAUAUAUGGAAGAACACCAGUGGCGAAGGCGGCCCUGUCUGGUCUGUAACUGACGCUGAGGCUCGAAAGCAUGGGUCAGCGAACAGGAUUAGA
rnacentral:rRNA from 1 species